rnacentral:lncRNA from 1 species
AAGAAUGUUAUCCACUAUUUUAUUUUGUUUUGCUUCUUAAACAAGUGUAUAUAUAUAUAUAUAUAUAUAUAUACAUAUAUACACACCACAACAUACUCACAUAUAACCAUUUUGCUUCACUUUUUUUUUUUUUUUUUUUUUAAGUUAGUGCCAAUUUAGAACAAAAUUUUCUGACAUUUAAAGAAGGAAAAGAGUUAGUCGUAUGUAUGUUAAAGGUAGGCAGAGGGAUAGAAAUGUUAAAUAAUAUGACUAAUAAAAAAAAAUUAUUAAAAUGGGUAAUUAUGAAUUUAAAAAAUUGGAGUAAAUUAAAAAGUAUAGAAACUAAAAAUUUUUGCUUUAGCUUAUGGUUUAUUAACAAUAAGAUAAAAUUAAAAUUAAAGAAAUUACUGAAAAGCUUUUAUUAUAAUUUAAAUAAUAUGAAAAGUGUAAAAAAAGAAAUAAAAGCUUAUAAAAUUUUUGAAAAUUUACACAUAUUAUCAAAAUUAGAAAAUAUAUUAAAAUUACAUGUAACAAAAUUACUACGAAUAUUUUUUACAAAUAUUUGUGUUUAUGAUGGUUUAGAUUUUGAAAAAAAAAAUAAACGAGCAAAAGAAAAAAUAAAUAACAAUGACAAAAUGAAUAGCAAUGACAAAAUGAAUAACAAUGACAAAAUGAAUAGCAAUGACAAAAUGAAUAACAAUGACAAAAUGAAUAGCAAUGAAGAAAUAUACAUCGAAGAAAAGAAUAACUACACAACUGUCAAAAGUUACGAAUAUUACAAAUAUACAUAUAACCAUUUAAACAAAAAACUCUUUUUUAAAAAAUUAAAAGAACAAAGUUUAAAUUUAUUAGACACCAUAUCUAGUAAUUCUGAAAUAGAUACAAAUGAAAAAGACACAAAAGAUAAUUCAGGAACUAACACGUAUAAUAUAGUAGCAUUAAAAUCACAUUACUACUACAACUUACCAUCAGUUAGAAAUCGCUAAUUAAUAUAUAUUAUAUAUGUAUAUGUAUAUGUAUAUGUAUACACGUGUGUAUAUGUAUUAGUUGAUAACUUAAAUGAUUUGUUAAAAUAUAUAAAAUAUUUAAACCUUCGUUUAAUG